AGUACCCGGAGAAAAAGCAUCGGCUAACUCCGUGCCAGCAGCCGCGGUAAUACGGAGGAUGCGAGCGUUAUCCGGAUUCAUUGGGUUUAAAGGGUGCGCAGGCGGGCGGUCAAGUCAGCGGUAAAAUCGUGGGGCCCAACCCCAUCCCGCCGUUGAAACUGGCCGUCUUGAGUGGGCGAGAAGUAUGCGGAAUGCGUGGUGUAGCGGUGAAAUGCAUAGAUAUCACGCAGAACUCCGAUUGCGAAGGCAGCAUACCGGCGCCCUACUGACGCUCAUGCACGAAAGCGUGGGUAUCGAACAGGAUUAGAUACCCUGGUAGUCCACGCAGUAAACGAUGAAUACUAAUUGUCCGGCAGGAUUGACUGCUGGGUGAUACAGCGAAAGCGUUAAGUAUUCCACCUGGGGA
rnacentral:rRNA from 1 species